rnacentral:rRNA from 1 species
AUUGAACGCUGGCGGCAUGCCUAACACAUGCAAGUCGAACGGCAGCACAGUGUGUAGCAAUACACAUGGGUGGCGAGUGGCGGACGGGUGAGUAAUACGUAGGAAUCUGCCCUAUAGUGGGGGAUAACCCGGGGAAACCCGGGCUAAUACCGCAUAAUCUCUAUGGAGCAAAGCUGGGGACCUUCGGGCCUCGCGCUAUGGGAUGAGCCUACGUCGGAUUAGCUAGUUGGUGGGGUAAAGGCCCACCAAGGCGACGAUCCGUAGCUGGUCUGAGAGGACGGCCAGCCACACUGGGACUGAGACACGGCCCAGACUCCUACGGGAGGCAGCAGUGGGGAAUAUUGGACAAUGGGGCAACCCUGAUCCAGCAAUGCCGCGUGUGUGAAGAAGGCCUUCGGGUUGUAAACCUCUUUCAUCAUCGACGAAGUCCAGCUUUUUGUUGGGUGACGGUAGGUGGAGAAGAAGCACCGGCCAACUACGUGCCAGCAGCCGCAGUAAGAC